AGUGAACGCUGGCGGUAGGCCUAACACAUGCAAGUCGAACGGACGCACAGUAAGAGCUUGCUCUUACGGGUGGCGAGUGGCGGACGGGUGAGGAAUACAUCGGAAUCUACUUUUUCGUGGGGGAUAACGUAGGGAAACUUACGCUAAUACCGCAUACGACCUACGGGUGAAAGCAGGGGAUCUUCGGACCUUGCGCGAUUGAAUGAGCCGAUGCCGGAUUAGCUAGUUGGCGGGGUAAAGGCCCACCAAGGCGACGAUCCGUAGCUGGUCUGAGAGGAUGAUCAGCCACACUGGAACUGAGACACGGUCCAGACUCCUACGGGAGGCAGCAGUGGGGAAUAUUGGACAAUGGGCGCAAGCCUGAUCCAGCCAUACCGCGUGGGUGAAGAAGGCCUUCGGGUUGUAAAGCCCUGUUGUUGGGAAAGAAAAGCAGCAGGUUAAUACCCCGCUGUUCUGACGGUACCCAAAGAAUAAGCACCGGCUAACUUCGUG
rnacentral:rRNA from 1 species